AGCAGGCCGAGCAGCCGCGCGCGCAGGCCGAAAGGCCGCGCGUGAGGAAAGUCCGGGCUCCAUAGGGCAAGGAUAACGGGUAACACCCGCCAGGGGCGACCCUCGGACAAGUGCAACAGAAAGAUACCGCCGCCGCUGCGUGGCAGCGGCGGUAAGGGUGGAAACGUGCGGUAAGAGCGCACGUGUCGGCUGGAGACAGUCCGAUGCUGUAAACUCUAUCCGGAGCAACACCGCGGAGGGACAUGCAGGCCGGCCCGGCCGUCCCAGGGAGGUGGCUGGAGCGCGCCGGCAACGACGCGCCUAGAUAGAUGGCUGCUGAACACAGAACCCGGCUUACAGACCGGCUCG
rnacentral:RNase_P_RNA from 1 species